rnacentral:misc_RNA from 1 species
UGCUUCUAUCGAACCGUUUUAGAAACAUCAGUGGCCAACAGAUCGCCAGAUCGUUGAGCUGCAUUGGCGGGAUUUCGCCGUCUUCGUUUCUCUUUCUUCGCGGACGAACACGCGCUGGGCCUGCGACGCAGGAUCCAGGGUCCUUGACGGGAUAUGCGUUAGGGGCUUGUAGCUCAGUUGGUUAGAGCGCGCGCUUGAUAAGCGUGAGGUCGGAAGUUCAAGUCUUCCCAGGCCCACCACUUUCAUCGAGUGAGCAUUCGUCUUCUGGUUACGGGGCCAUAGCUCAGCUGGGAGAGCGCGUGCUUUGCAAGCAUGAGGUCGUCGGUUCGAUCCCGUCUGGCUCCACCAGAUGGUUUGAUCACCGAGAUCUUGUACCGUCGUCCGCGAAACAUCACUUCGCAUCCUGCUAGUCUGGAUAGACAGCAAGGUGCGUGUUUUCUGACAUCGUAAAGAGGAGAUCGAUCCGAGUUGGAUCGUGCAGCAGGUUGUUGCGCGAGCCUUCAUUAUCUCCGGAUCAUUUUCGGCGCUCGCUUUCGGCCGUGAGGUUGGAUGCGAGUUGUAAAAUGAUCCUUUUAGCGAAGCUUGACCGCCUCGCUAUCGGAACGAUCUUACGAAGCAAGCUGGUCUUUCUAGUCAAUGUCCGGCUGCAGAUAGCGUUCAUCGAGGGCGCGUGCCUUAGGGAUUUCGAUCUCUUGGCAAUUCUGCAGACAACAUUCUGCCGAGUGUGUGGACAUUGAUAAUGAGAGCAAUCAAGUGCCUUAAGGGUGUUCGGUGGAUGCCUUGGCGCUGAGAGGCGAUGAAGGACGUGCUACGCUGCGAUAAGCCGUGGGAG